rnacentral:rRNA from 1 species
AAAAAAGGUAAGCUACUAAGAGCGAAUGGUGGAUGCCUUGACUGGUAAAGGCGAUGAAGGACGUACUAGACUGCGAUAAGCUACGGGGAGCUGUCAAGAAGCUUUGAUCCGUAGAUUUCCGAAUGGGGCAACCCAAUGUAUAGAGAUAUACAUUACCUAUAUAGGAGCGAACGAGGGGAAUUGAAACAUCUUAGUACCCUCAGGAAAAGAAAUCAAUAGAGAUUGCGUCAGUAGCGGCGAGCGAAAGCGCAAGAGGGCAAACCCAGUGCUUGCACUGGGGGUUGUAGGACUGCAAUGUGCAAGAGGUAAGUUUAGCAGAACAUUCUGGAAAGUAUAACCAUAGAGGGUGAUAGUCCCGUAUGCGAAAAACAAACCUUAGCUAGCAGUAUCCUGAGUAGGGCGGGACACGAGGAAUCCUGUCUGAAUCCGGGUCGACCACGAUCCAACCCUAAAUACUAAUACCAGAUCGAUAGUGCACAAGUACCGUGAGGGAAAGGUGAAAAGAACUGAGGUGAUCAGAGUGAAAUAGAACCUGAAACCAUUUGCUUACAAUCAUUCAGAGCCCUAUGUAGCAAUACAGGGUGAUGGACUGCCUUUUGCAUAAUGAGCCUGCGAGUUGUGGUGUCUGGCAAGGUUAAGCAAACGCGAAGCCGUAGCGAAAGCGAGUCUGAAUAGGGCGCUUAGUCAGAUGCUGCAGACCCGAAACGAAGUGAUCUAUCCAUGAGCAAGUUGAAGCUAGUGUAAGAACUAGUGGAGGACUGAACCCAUAGGCGUUGAAAAGCCCCGGGAUGACUUGUGGAUAGGGGUGAAAGGCCAAUCAAACUUCGUGAUAGCUGGUUCUCUCCGAAAUAUAUUUAGGUAUAGCGUUGUGUCGUAAUAUAAGGGGGUAGAGCACUGAAUGGGCUAGGGCAUACACCAAUGUACCAAACCCUAUCAAACUCCGAAUACCUUAUAUGUAAUCACAGCAGUCAGGCGGCGAGUGAUAAAAUCCGUCGUCAAGAGGGAAACAACCCAGACUACCAGCUAAGGUCCCUAAAUCUUACUUAAGUGGAAAACGAUGUGAAGUUACUUAAACAACCAGGAGGUUGGCUUAGAAGCAGCCAUCCUUUAAAGAAAGCGUAAUAGCUCACUGGUCUAGUGAUUUUGCGCGGAAAAUAUAACGGGGCUAAAGUAAGUACCGAAGCUGUAGACUUGCACACAACUUAGAUUAUUUAAGUUUAGAAUAUGAGAAACUAAGUUAUAUGUUUAGUUAUAUUUUUACUGAUUUUUAUAGAGUAAAGAUAGAAAUAAAACUUAGUAAAAUCAGUAAAAAUAUUCUUAGACUAAAGUUAAGUAGUUUAAGUUGUGUGCAAGUGGUAGGAGAGCGUUCUAUUUGCGUCGAAGGUAUACCGGUAAGGAGUGCUGGAGCGAAUAGAAGUGAGCAUGCAGGCAUGAGUAGCGAUAAUUA